AUUGAACGCUGGCGGCAGGCCUAACACAUGCAAGUCGAACGAGUGGCGGACGGGUGAGUAAUGUCUGGGAAACUGCCCGAUGGAGGGGGAUAACUACUGGAAACGGUAGCUAAUACCGCAUACCAUCAGAUGUGCCCAGAUGGGAUUAGCUGGUAGGUGGGGUAACGGCUCACCUAGGCGACGCUCCCUAGCUGGUCUGAGAGGAUGACCAGCCACACUGGAACUGGGACACGGUCCAGACGCCUUCGGGAGGCAGCAGUAGGGAAUAUUGCACAAUGGGCGCAAGCCUGAUGCAGCAAUGCCGCGUGUGUAACGAGGGCAUUCGGGUUGUAAAUGACUUUCAGCGGGGAGGCGUUACCCGCAGUAGGAGCACCGGCUAACUCCGUUCCAGCAGCCGCGGUAAUUC
rnacentral:rRNA from 1 species